AGUUUUCGGACAAUGGAUGUAGAGGAAAGUGGCGGACGGGUGAGUAACGCGUGAGGAACCUGCCUUGAAGAGGGGGACAACAGUUGGAAACGACUGCUAAUACCGCAUGACACAUAGAGAUCGCAUGGUUUUAUGUCAAAGAUUUAUCGCUGAAAGAUGGCCUCGCGUCUGAUUAGCUAGUUGGUGAGGUAACGGCUCACCAAGGCGACGAUCAGUAGCCGGACUGAGAGGUUGACCGGCCACAUUGGGACUGAGACACGGACCAAACUCC
rnacentral:rRNA from 1 species